UACGUAGGCAGCGAGCGUUGUUCGGAGUUACUGGGCGUAAAGGGUGUGUAGGCGGUUGUUUAAGUUUGGUGUGAAAUCUCCCCGGCUCAACUGGGAGGGUGCGCCGAAUACUGAAUGACUUGGAGUGCGGGAGAGGAAAGUGGAAUUCCUGGUGUAGCGGUGAAAUGCGUAGAUAUCAGGAGGAACACCGGUGGUGUAGACGGCUUUCUGGACCGUAACUGACGCUGAGACACGAAAGCGUGGGUAGCAAACAGG
rnacentral:rRNA from 1 species